rnacentral:lncRNA from 1 species
AUGGCUGCUCGAAUGUCAAGUCAGUAUUUUAUAGCCCCCAGUUGGCGUAGAAAGCUCCAGUGCAAGAGCUGGGGACGUCUCCCAGCCCCACAGGAGGGCACCACAGGUGGGACAGGAAGCUGGCCACACGGCCGCACAGACAGAUGGGCUCAUCCAGGCAGAGCCAGGGCCUUCCUUCCAGCAGGCCCAGCAGAAAGAGCCAGAGAGGCCGACGGCAAAUCCAGAUCCAUAACGUACCUCGGACCAGAGCAGCGUCCCUGGGUGAAGGACGCCGGGACCCACACCCACCCAGAUCCUUCUGGCCUGGCCGGUCCAGACUGUGCUGCAGGUGCUGCCUGUUGGGAACAGAGGAUGCGGGGCUGGCGAGGGGGCCAGGACAGACGCCACCCGGAGGGACGUCCCUGGGCCUGGCUGCAGACCCCCGGUGGCACCGACUGCUGGGAAGUCUGCUCCCGGCCACGCUGCAGCAGCGCAAGAAGCACCGAGGCAAUGUGCAGCACAGACCCCUCCAGGGGGACUCAGAAGGUGUCCUUCAGCAAGGAGAGACCUGGGGGUAGGAAGAGCAGGAAAGGGGCAGAUUCGAAGCUCCACGUCACCAGGACCACUCCUGGGGGCUGUCCUCUGAGGCUGGGAAGAACCGUGACCCUGAGUCAGCCUCCCCACUACAGCAAACACCGAAGAGGAUCCACUGAGACAAAGGAUUCCGUGGGACAUUUUGGUCCGCAAGGCGUGGCCCUGGUGCCGGGGGCCAUGGGGAGGCUGCAGGUCAUGGCAGCGGCUCAUGGAGAAGCCAAGCUGCUCCUGAGACUUGGGAGGUGCAAGAGAGGAAGGGGCUGGGACCCACCACCUACCAGGGACCUCAGCCCUUCCACAAGGCCCCACCCCUCAAAGGUCCACCACCUCACCACGCGGGGCCUGGCUGUCAGGACUUGUGCUGGUGACGGAGGAAGAGCUUCCCAGGGGUGCCAUGCUCCCUUGGUGUGUGGACCACGCCUGUAUGUAACACCUCCUGAACACCCACUCUCCAGGGCCAUGCCAGGCCGGGUACCCAGGCCGAUGACACAGCCUCGUCCUCGACCCACUCACACCCCGUGGCAGGAUGCCAUGAAAGCCACUUCUGGAACCUUCAGAUCCCGUUGUGGUUUUAACCUAGUUUUUCGCCAUCUCUCCUAG